rnacentral:rRNA from 1 species
UACAGAGGUGGCAAGCGUUGUUCGGAAUUACUGGGCGUAAAGGGCGCGUAGGCGGCCUUCUAAGUCAGACGUGAAAUCCCCCGGCUCAACCUGGGAACUGCGUCUGAUACUGGAGGGCUUGAAUGCGGGAGAGGGAUGUAGAAUUCCAGGUGUAGCGGUGAAAUGCGUAGAUAUCUGGAGGAAUACCGGUGGCGAAGGCGGCAUCCUGGACCGACAUUGACGCUGAGGAGCGAAAGCUGGGGGAGCAAACGGG